rnacentral:rRNA from 1 species
UGGGGAAUAUUGCACAAUGGGCGCAAGCCUGAUGCAGCCAUGCCGCGUGUAUGAAGAAGGCCUUCGGGUUGUAAAGUACUUUCAGCGGGGAGGAAGGGAGUAAAGUUAAUACCUUUGCUCAUUGACGUUACCCGCAGAAGAAGCACCGGCUAACUCCGUGCCAGCAGCCGCGGUAAUACGGAGGGUGCAAGCGUUAAUCGGAAUUACUGGGCGUAAAGCGCACGCAGGCGGUUUGUUAAGUCAGAUGUGAAAUCCCCGGGCUCAACCUGGGAACUGCAUCUGAUACUGGCAAGCUUGAGUCUCGUAGAGGGGGGUAGAAUUCCAGGAGUAGCGGUGAAAUGCGUAGAGAUCUGGAGGAAUACCGGUGGCGAAGGCGGCCCCCUGGACGAAGACUGACGCUCAGGUGCGAAAGCGUGGGGAGCAAACAGG